rnacentral:lncRNA from 1 species
GCCGCGGCGGCGGCGGCUCCGCUCGCCCCGGGAGGGAGCCCGCGGCCAGGGCUGGACUCUCGCCCCGCCACCUCCACCGACUCUCUCCUCAGCCUCCGCGCCUGGCACCGCAGCAAGACUUGAAUGAAGUGAUCAUGUAAACUAGAGAAAGGAGAUUAAAAAUAACCUCUGGAUAUUCCUCUCAUGUGAUCUUUAUUCUGGAUGAAGCAUUAGGACAGCUAAUAGCCGUGUGUCACUUAAAAAUCCAACUUGAGAACUGUCACCAAAGAUGUCUAGGAACUUUGAAGAAACAUGAAGUAAUAUGCAUGCAAAGUAAAGUAAAAUUUCCUGAGCAAAGGACAUCAGAAUCAGUUUCAUGAAGAUGAACCUGUGGCCAGAAAAUGAAGACCUUUCCUGAAUUCAGAGAACCAACUUUGCACCCACAAGAGAGAAAAAGGCAAAUAAAUAAUAUUAUAUUUUGGAAGAGUCUUACAAAAUGAUUCAUAAUUAAUUUGCAGUAUACUAUUCUAAAAUUCUUUUGUAAGAGAUUAAAGAAAUAUGUACACAUUAGAAAACUAUAAUUAGUACUCCUAAUGGAAAUCAAUUUUCAUUUACAAAAUAGCUUUAAAAAUUUACAAAUACAAUGUUAAUUCACUCCUGCUUGCCCAACAAGGGGAGUUCUUGAUGGAGUGAAAAAGAGCCUAAAUCUUGAGCACUUACUGGGUACAGGGCACUGUCAUGUGUGUUUCACGUGUAUUGCCGAAUGUGAUACUUACAAAAACCAUAUCAGGUGGGUGUGGUAAUUAUCAUGAUGCCCAUUUUGCAAAUGAAGAAGCUGAGCCACUGAAAUGUUCAACAAAUGUGCCUCCAGGAUACACAGGUUGAUUUUCCGUUUCAGGAUUUGGACUCAUAUACUGGCCCCAAUGUCUGCUAUGUUCUCUUUUGGUAAACAUGCAGGAAAUGGAAUGAAAUAUGUUGUCUUUAGUAUAACAGAAUCUUUAAUUUGUAGCUCUAUUUGAACUUUCUUAGCUGAAGUGUCCUCAACAAAGUCAUAUAUGUAGUCACUAAUCACUAUGAAAAUGACAAUAUAAGAAGUAAAAUUAUAUGUAUACCAUUCAAAGAGAUCUGAAAAUUGAAUUAACUGAGCAUUUUUGUAGCAUGAAUCUUUGAUUAGAAAAUAUUGGAGCCCAUUUGCAACAUUUUAGGUUGCUACAUAUAAUGUUUUAUAUGAAAUAAUAUAAUCAACUUAUUUAUAGAAGUGUAGAUGAUUUUAGUUCUUUUCCUAUCAUUAUUCAGACAGAGUUUGAUAGCUUAGCAGACUCGUGUUGUAUGUGUAUAUGUUAGGGAGGACAGGUUUGCAAUUGAAGCUGAUUGUUUGCCCAAACACCAUCUGGCCUACCCAUUUAUAAUAUGUCAAAUGAGACUGCCCAAGGUAUGAGAAAAAUCUUAAUUUCACAUUUAUUCAGGUCAUAUUGGCCACAGCUCAAACUGCACUAUUAUAUUGUUUGCAUUUUCAUCACCACCCGGUUUUUUUUUUAAUUUUUUUCUGAAUUCUCUUGAAUGCUUUACUGAUUUUCACUACCUUCCUUUUAAUUAUUUCAGAAACCUACUAUUAAAGAUUUUCACUCACUGUUGAUCAUAACGUUAAUCAUCUUGUUACAAUAUAGACUAUUAUAAGCUUUAGUAAAAUAACUUAAAUAUUUUAAAACCCAAAUAUCUUUGGAUGGACUUUGUGUAUAUUAAAUUCUUGUCUAUUAUAGCAAAGUUUCAAUAUGCAUAAACAUAUACAUAUAAGUAAAUAUUUUAUAAUGUAUCACUGGCUCUUGUAAAGAUAGUUAUUCAUGCUCAAUAUCAACAUUUUGAAAAAUGUAGCUAUUAAUAAAUAUUUAUGCACAAACUUAGAUUUUUAACUGAAAGUUAAUGGCUAGGAUUUUUAAGUAACUGUCCAAAUAAUUAAAUAGAAGGAAUAAAAUAAACAUUUCACUUUGCAUUAGACACUUCUGCUAGAACAUGUUUUAUAAGAAUUAAAUGUUGAGGAAUUUUAAAAACUACAUUAGAUUUUAAAUCACCUUAAUAGUCCUACACUGAUUUCUACUGUUUUAGUUGGAAGAAUGAUCAGAAAUAGUAUCCAGGGGAAAUGUAUUUUGUAAAAAUACUGUAGUUUAAUAAUAUGAUAAGAAGGCAACUUCUGAGUAUAUCCUCUGAUUAAUUCAAUGCCAAAAUAUAUGGGGAAGAUAGUUUUCAAUGUAAAUACUGAUUCCUGUUUAGAAAAUAAAAACAGCAUAUUAUUAAUUUAGAUUAACAUAAUUAAUAUAACACUUAUUUCCCAAAAUGUUAUAUUUCUUUGGGUAGCCCCUUAAUUAUUAGUCAAACAAGAAACCUCCAACAGAAGUAUUUCAGAAAAUAUCAUGGCAUUUAAAAAUAUGAAUGUUCAUAAUUUCCUUAAUAGUUUACAUUUUUAACCCCUUUAAAAUGCUAAUUUCAUGAUCUUUAUUGCUGAUUUAUGAAAAUAUCACUAUUCAUUAGUAAAAUAUGUAUUUUUAAAUUAAAAUUUGAAUCUGAAAGAGCAAGGAAGACUUAAUUGGAAGAUGCAUAGAAUUUGUGAGGUCUUUUCAGAAUAUCUUACUGUAUGUAUGUUACAGAACAUAAGCACUGAGUCAAAGCUCAGCGGAGGAAGUUCACGUUAAUAGUGUGCUCUAGGCCGGGCGCAGUGGCUCACACCUGUAAUCCCAGCACUUUGGGAGGCUGAGGCAGGAGGACAACCUGAGGU